rnacentral:rRNA from 1 species
CCUACGGGAGGCAGCAGUGGGGAAUAUUGCACAAUGGACGAAAGUCUGAUGCAGCAACGCCGCGUGGAGGAUGACACAUUUCGGUGCGUAAACUCCUUUUAUAUGAGAAGAUAAUGACGGUAUUAU